AUUUACUUAGUUUAAUAAAAACACUUUACUUUCAUUAAAAAGAAGAUUGAAAUCAGUAAAUU
rnacentral:tRNA from 1 species